rnacentral:rRNA from 1 species
GGCACGACGCUUAGGCGCUAUGCUAGCAUGAUGCAUGCCAAGGACUUGAGGAGGAGAGGUGACUUCGGUUGAGCUCCAGAGGUCUACGACCCCCUGCGGAGAGGCACCUCGUAGCGGCCGCGCCGUCGUCGGCACCGCGACGACAGCAAUCGGCGGACCUAAGACCUCACCCGUACCACCUGCGGCGCCGCCGACCCGUCCCGAGACGCCCGGGUCCCGGAGUCCCCGUGGGCCAUGGCGGAGAAGUCGCCGCUGCGUGGCCUCCUGCGGGCCGAGUUGUCCCUCCGAGCUAGUGUCGGGUACGGCGAACCGAGGGUGCUGUAGUAGGGAGCGCACGUGGGGUACGAGACGUUGCGGCAAUUCCUCGUGCCAUUAGAAAGUCAGCGGUUUAAGUGUUCAAGAAAACUUGAAAAAGAAAAGAGGGAGCAAUCCCUACAGGAGACGAAGACUAUGUAUCGUCCCUUUUACGGUAAGUGAACCAAACCGGGUUGCGGUUCCCACUACUAAAGACUGGGCCUGGAUCACUCUCUUUAAGACAGGUUGUUCGAGCCUGUGAUAGCCUUUGUUUCCUCAUCGGCAUACCCCUUCGACGAUCGGCUGCCUCAGCGUUUAGUACUUCCUCUCUUUACCCGUUUCGUGGCUUCUUAGGAGUUAGGACGGAAAGUGGUACUCUUCUAUUUCUCCUAUGACGGUCAAAAAAGAUGGACAACGCUUCUUUACCAAUGUUCCACCCUUUUAAGGUACAGGCCACUUCCCAAUAGACUCUAACUGUGUACAAGACUCAAAGUCUUAGAAUGCCCUCUACAGUAGCGUUCUUGUAGUAAACCAUCGUUAAUAGUCCUUCCCUUCUUUUAUAAGGUCGACGUUCCCCUCAAUCGAUUUUCUGACUACGUCCGGAAAGUCUGUAAAAAAUAGGGUCCGAUAACCAAGAAUGGUUGUUUUUUAUUAUCUUCCUACUCUCGUUAACUAGCACUUUAGGCGUACUAAUACGUUCCGUAAUAACCUUUUUUUCUUUCUCGAUAAUUUUUACCACUUCGGUCGUCGUUACUGAACGAUCCUAACGACAACCUCAGUUUAUACGUUGUUAGUUUACCCUUCCGUCCGGUUCCCUACUCAUAACUACUAUAUUAACUCCUUACGUUCGAUAAAAUGAAACGUCCGUACCUCUGUUGUAGCCAGAACGAGUGUACCUGUGACUAACACGAUUCGUACGUGGGUCUCACCGUUCUCGUCCGUUCUCUCCUUCACAACGUAGUGAAGCCUGCUCGGUGUGGUCUAAUACUCGUGGACUCAGCGGACUUCUAACAUUGUUACUAAAGCAUACUCCAAGAAUCCAACAUAGGCGGUCAUUGGAUAGAAUGGUCUUCUUGAAUGUUCCGUUGCCUCGAACCGUCGUAGUUUAUAGGAUUUCCUCACUGGGAAUAAAACGGGGAAGAGAAGUAGGUGGUACUAGGACUAUAAACCCCUCUUCUACGUUCACUUAAGUUAGGUGUCUCCAAACGACUACCGUAGAGCUCGCGGCGCUUCGUAGGCAGCCGCAAGAAGGGCAAACCUCCCCCAGGUGCCUAGACGUAGCCGGUCUUGAAACGCAACGAUCUUCGAUUCUACCGUGACUCGUGGUAAGAGGUCGCGAAGAGCAAACUCGAGAGCGGCAGGAUGUGCGUGCGCGGCAUGUGGUACUACUGGGAGGUCGGCGUCGUGCCACGAGUUUAAUCCGACUCCUUCUAUACUAGUACGAAGAGUAGCCCGUCACUUAAAUGAAUGCACAACGUAUAUCAAAUUUCAAAAUAGAAAGCCGACUUAUUUGAUAUAUGAUGAGGGGGGUAAGGAUUCAUAAACAGAAAAAUCUCUAAGUUUACUUGAUAGUGUAUGUCUACAUAUAUUUGUAUAAAAUCUCACAUGUAAGUGAGUAAAACGAAGCAUACAUCAGUGAACAAUUUUUGAGAUCUUUCUGUUUAUAAAUCCUUGUCUCCCUCAUCAUCAAUGUCAACUUGACGAGCAAAGGAAGUCAAGUAUUAUCAUGAUGACGUUCAGACAUUGACAGUAAAUUACCUUGAGGAAAGUAGUCCGACGUGUUUGUAUUUACUACUGUUACAAUUGAGAGAGCUG